rnacentral:rRNA from 1 species
ACGAACGCUGGCGGCGUGCUUCACACAUGCCAGUCGCACGGAAAGGCCCUGCUUUUGUGGGGUGCUCGAGUGGCGAACGGGUGAGUAACACGUGAGUAACCUGCCCUUGACUUUGGGAUAACUUCAGGAAACUGGGGCUAAUACCGGAUAGGAUCUCCUGCUGCAUGGUGGGGGUUGGAAAGUUUCGGCGGUUGGGGAUGGACUCGCGGCUUAUCAGCUUGUUGGUGGGGUAGUGGCUUACCAAGGCUUUGACGGGUAGCCGGCCUGAGAGGGUGACCGGCUGGUGGGAGAAGGGGGAGCGGCCCGACGCAGGAGGGGGGGGGGAAGUGGGAAUGAUGGAGAGAGGGGGGGAGGCGUGAUGGCACGGGGCCGCGGGGGGGGGGGGGGCCGUCGGGUGGUAACCCGCUGGCGCGGGGGGUGAGGGGUGAGGGGUGGUGAAGGACAAAGAAGCACCGGAAGACGCCGUGCCAGAAGCCGGGGUAAUAAGCGGAGCAGCACACGCAUAACC